rnacentral:rRNA from 1 species
ACAAGCCUGAGAAACGGCUAGUAGGACUAAGGUCUGCAGCAGGCGCGAAACUUACACAAUGCUAGAUUAAAAUUAGCGAUGUAGUGAAGAAAAAUAACGAUGUACUUUCAUCUACAAAUGAUAGUACAAUUGGAAUGAGACGACUAUAAACCAGUUAGUCGAGUAACAAAUGGAGGGCAAGUCUGGUGCCAGCAGCCGCGGUAAUUCCAGCUCCAUUAGCAUACAUUAAAGUUGUUGCGGUUAAAAAGCUCGUAGUUGAAUUUUAGGCGGGCUCUAUUGGAUUGCAAUCGUUAAGACUAUCUUGCUCCGGCUUGAUUAGUUGGUUGUAUCAUCCUAUAGGAACCCGCUGUUUCGUCACUUAAUUGAGUGCGAAGCGGGCUGAAACAUUUGCUUAACCUCCGCGGUUGCAUUGUUCCAGCAAGUUUACCUUGAGAAAAUUAGAGUGCUCACAGCAGGCAGUUGGGGCGUAAAAACCCCUUUAUGCUUGGAUAAUGUUGCAUGGAAUAAUAGAAUACGGCCUCGGUUCUAUUCUGUUGGUCUUAUAGAACAACAAACAAGUUGGUUAAAGCGACAAAAAGUUCGUUUGUGAGUGUGGCUUCAAGGGCCUUUCAUUUAGUUUUGCACUUACUAGUUGCGUUGUGUUGCCUAGGGCCUUAAAAUCUUAGUGCCGCGCGCUUCUAACCAAGUCAAUUCUUGUGUUUGUUGCCCUUAAAGUCAUUUAAAGCACUCCUAAUUGGGCUAGCUUUCUAAUCAACUGAGGCAAUGGUUAAAAGAAAUAGUCGCGGCGGCAUCAGUACUGCAUCGUGAGAG